CCUAGCAGGUGGAAGAGUGUGGCAAAGCCCUGACAAUGCUUCAUCACCUGUAGCAGGGAAUGUGCCGGAUGUGCUGGAUUCUGUUGGUUCAGCCUGACAAGGGCAAGACUAACCAUGUUGCAGUCCAGGUUGAAAGUCUGUCUGUCCAGUGUCCCAAGAUUGCUGACUGUGUGGUUGUGACGUCUGAAUGCCUCUUGGAACCUGAACCUCCUGUACUUGUUGAAGAUGAAGCCGUGUUUGAGACCUUGGAAGAAUUUGAAAGCGAUAUGGUGGAGCAUAGCUCCUUGGUAGAUGUUAAGGUCUGUGAUUUGUUUGGGACAGAACGGAACACUGAUGAACUUAAGAAGCUGUUUGGCGAUGGUAGCAGUGAUCUGUGUAUGGGAUGGACCCUGCUUGGAGAUUCUCCUGUAGUGGUACCUGGGGUCCAAUCACUGUCUACUUAUGAAAUCCCAGUGCCUUUUGUCUGCUUGUUAUGUGUGUACUGGCUCCUCAGUGUAGUUUUUCAUGUUGGUUGUUGACACCAGUGGUUUUGGUGUGGUUGUUCAGUCUUGGGAGGUGUGGAAAACCUCACUUGACAAGUCCCAGUGGGUCUCCGAUAUUGUCUUGGUGAUGUAAAUGUUUUGAGUUCUGUUUGUGGUGUCUUUAUAGUCUAUGCUGACCUAAAUCCUCCAGGCUUAAGGACCAAAGACUUCUGACAAUCAGGCCAUGAGCCAGGACCACAAUACAACCAGGCUAACAACCAUAUCCUUUCCAAGUUUUCAUAUAGCACAUGUGGUUUAAACAUACCAAAAAAUUAAUGAUGCAGUAUUUUGAGUAUUAAUGUUAGUUAAGAUUAAAUAUUUUGUUAGAAUGUAAAUGUGUUGUGUGUGUUUGUGGUCUGUCCUCUCUGUUUUCCAGGACACUGGAGGGUAGGGGUGGGGCAGAUCCACAGAGGGUCUCUUAUGUUUCUUAAGCUUCCUGAAGGAACCCUCUCGGGGAAGGGAGGUGUUACGAACCUCUCUGUCUCUGGCUGUCUGUGCUACCGCGGAGCCUUGGCUGGCUGGAGACGACAGAGUGCUUGAUUGCCAAUUAAGACACACCUGUGCGCAAAUGGGCUUUAAAAGCCAGACCAACUUGCGCUCUCUCUCUCUCUCCCGAACCAGACACACAUAGACAUACAUUCAUGCACGCAUUCACUCACUCUCAUACAUUUCCCUUGGACUAUACAACAAACAUUCACCACACUCACUCUGAUUUUUCCUGCCGGCGUUCCAAUUACUACACUCUCAACCAGAUGAUCCCACAUCCCCUAGACAUACUUUUGUGAUACCAAUAAAUAUUUGUGAUAAUUUCAUUCA